CUUCUUCCUGCCCUCUUCCUCACCGUGCGCUGCCGCCCAUGACCCUGCGCUCCGCCCGCCGCCGCCGCGUGCUCGCGUCGUUGCACGUGCCGUACCCGCCUGCCAGCCGCGCGCUGCUGCCACGCAUGCCUGCCGCACGCUGCAGCAGGCGCUGCUGGUGCCGCAAGCUGCUGCUGCGGCGGCACGCUACCGCUGCUGCCCCGCGCUGCGGCACUGCGGCUGCCGCGUGCUGCUGCUCCGCGCGGCGCGUCGCGACUGGGCUCGCCAACGCCGGAGAAGAACACCUCGCUCGCCGGUGAAGAAAUCUUCAAUAUUUCUAUUUCAGCAUUUUCAACAUUUUAUAUCUCCAAUUUUAACAUUUAUCUUCAUAAUUUCAAUAUUUUAAAAGCCAAAUGUUAAACGUGUUUACCAAAAUAUUGAGUUAACUUUACUAAAAUAUUAAACAUAUUUGCAACAGAUAAUUAGAUCAAAAUUAACUUUAAACAUAGAUAUCUUAUCUAUCUUCUACAAGAUAGAUAAGCCCCGCUGCGGCCUCCCUGCCCCUAAAAAAACUGAGGCCUCCCUUGUCGCUGACUCGCUUCCCACCGGUGCCCUGAGCCCCUGGCGACGGCGACCAAAUCGCCCGGCGAGAAAACAGAAAGGGGAUAAAAGAUUCACCCACGCCACGACUCCACGAGUUGACUUCGCCAGUGUCAAACCGCUUCCUUUUCAUGCCAUCCAUCGAACUGAACCUUUGCCGUCAUCAUUGGCUGGAAUGAGGGUCGCCAGUUUCUGUCUUACAAAAUUUUGUGUUUGCCUUUUCCCUGACGGCGUCAGCACGACCUUUCAUUUUCUUUCUGGAGCAAGCCGGAAUGACAACGGGUCGAUUUUUCAUUGAAUACAGAAGUACAGAAUGUACAGAGAUCACGAAACAAAAAAAGCUGCACAUAGAAAACGAUAAGGGAGACGGAACUCAAGAAGACAACGAAAGCCUGAACCACUCUGAAGUCUGAAGAUGACAAACCGAGCAGGCAAUGAGCUGAAAGAAAAUGAAGCAAGGCCUGAAGUCUGAAGAUGACAAGUCGGAGCCCUGCAUUGCUGACUCAGAGGGAGAGCGAUAGAGGUGCCGCCUCGAUCCGAUCGCACACAUGAACACACAGCUCGCUCCGCCUCCGGCGCAGUCCACACGCGGAGAAGCAUUGCAAGCAAGAGGCUUGCAAGCAACGCACGGCGAGCGGCUACACGGCUCGAGGCGGCGGCCUAGCCCCGUGCUUGCUCGGCUUACUGAUCAAUUUAAUUCUGCUCCGCCGAAUUGCUUAGGCCACAGACUAGAUUAGAUUAAGCCCGCUGCACGGGGUCCUGCAGCAGACAAGGCCUCUCUUGUCGCCGAGCCAGCUAGCCGCGUCGAUCUGGACCUGUCUCGCUGUCCCUACCUGCUCGCCUCGCAUCAACCAGCACGAGCUCUAGCUCGAUCCGGCGAUCCCUCCUGUGUUCAUGUGUCUCCGAGUUCCCCCCACCCCCCUGGCAAUUCAGUGGGUUGGAGCACAUGCCUUGAAUUGAGCGCCGGACUUCUAUCAGAAUUCAGAAACAUCGCCUUUCAGUUUCAUAACCCGAAAUCCUGGAGAACUAAUCAAGGUGAGCUAAAUGGUUAGGAAACUAUCUGAUGAUAAAGCCAGUAGUUUCUUGGUGAUCUUUUGACUUUGUUCUGUUUAGGAUUUUUUUUUUCAAUCAGUUACAUACAUAAUUGUUGUUCCGUGAACUGGAAAGUAGCGUGAAUCGCAAAUUCAACUGAACAUCGUAUGUA